GACGAACCGUGCAAACGUUGUUCGGAAUCACUGGGCUUAAAGGGCGCGUAGGCGGCGAAUCAAGUCCGGGGUGAAAUCUUUCGGCUCAACCGGAAAAGGGCCUUGGAUACUGGUUCGCUCGAGGGAGGUAGGGGCAUGUGGAACUUCCGGUGGAGCGGUGAAAUGCGUUGAUAUCGGAAGGAACGCCGGUGGCGAAAGCGACGUGCUGGACCUCUACUGACGCUGAGGCGCGAAAGCCAGGGGAG
rnacentral:rRNA from 1 species